ensembl:snRNA
UUGCUUUGGCAGCACAUAUACUAAAAUUGGAAUGAUACAGAGAAGAUUAGCAAUGGCCCCUGCGCAAGUAAAAAUAAAAAGUAAUGCAGAUAUUUUGGCAUGAUUGCUUUUUU